rnacentral:rRNA from 1 species
GACAAUGGAGGCAACUCUGAUCCAGCCAUGCCGCGUGAAGGAAUAAGGCCCUAUGGGUUGUAAACUUCUUUUAGACGGGACAAAACCCCUUUACGUGUAAAGGGUUGAUGGUACUGUCAGAAUAAGCAUCGGCUAACUUCGUGCCAGCAGCCGCGGUAAUACGAAGGAUGCAAGCGUUAUCCGGAAUUAUUGGGUUUAAAGGGUGCGUAGGCGGACUGAUAAGUCAGUGGUGAAAGCCUGCAGCUUAACUGCAGAAUUGCCGUUGAUACUGUCAGUCUUGAGUACAGUUGAGGUAGGCGGAAUGUGUCAUGUAGCGGUGAAAUGCUUAGAUAUGACACAGAACACCGAUUGCGAAGGCAGCUUGCUAAGCUGUAACUGACGCUGAGGCACGAAAGCGUGGGGAGCAAACAGGAUUAGAUACCCUGGUAGUCCACGCCCUAAACGAUGAUAACUCGCUGUUGGCGAUACACAGCCAGCGGCCAAGCGAAAGCAUUAAGUUAUCCACCUGGGGAGUACGACCGCAAGUUGAAACUCAAAGGAGUUGACGGGGGCCGCACAAGCGAGGAGCAUGUGGUUUAAUUCGAUGAUAC